UCCCUGGUAGUAUAUCGGUUAGUACACCCGCCUGUCAUACGACACGAUGGUUCAACCGGUCACGUCACGCGCGGGAGAGCGGGGUUCAACUCCCCGCCAAGGAG